CUGUCAAAGAGGCGGUGAAAUG
rnacentral:miRNA from 12 species